rnacentral:rRNA from 1 species
CCCUUAGAUGUUCUGGGCUGCACGCGCGCUACACUGAUGCGUUCAACGAGUUUAUAACCUUGCUUGGUAAAGUUGGGUAAUCUUGUGAACACGCAUCGUGAUGGGGAUAGAUCAUUGCAACUAUUGAUCUUCAACGAGGAAUUCCUAGUAGUGGCGAAUCAUCAGUUCGUCGCGAUUACGUCCCUGCCCUUUGUACACACCGCCCGUCGCUCCUACCGAUUGAACAAUCCGGUGAAUAAUUCGGACAGUCGUGCAUUAUAGUUCGCUAUUUUGCUUGUACUGGAAGUCUAGUGAACCUUAUUGUUUAGAGGAAGGAGAAGUCGUAACA